GGACCACGAAACUUUGAUCGGACGGUUCAUGCUCACUCUCUCGGUUCGAACAAUUCGCACGAGACGAGACGGGGAUGCCUCCGUGCCCGCGGGCUCCUCCGCCGGCGGCGUUCCCGUCCCUGGACGCCUACUACCUCCACCACCUCCACUCCUGCUCCGCGCCGCGCCACGCCGCCGCCGUCCACGCCCACAUCGUCCGCGCGCACCCCUCCCCCUCCCUCUUCCUCCGCAACACGCUGCUCGCCGCGUACUGCCGCCUCGGCGGCCAUGCGCGCCGCCUGCUCGACGAAAUGCCCCGCACCAACGCCGUCUCCUUCAACCUCCUCAUCGACGCCUACUCCCGCGCUGGACAACCCGAGGACUCUCUGGAGACCUUCGCGCGCGCGCGCCGUUCCGCCGGCGUCAGGGCCGACCGGUUCACGUACGCGGCCGCGCUGGCCGCGUGCUCGCGCGCCGGGCGCCUGAGGGAGGGCAAGGCCGUGCACGCGCUGUCCGUCCUCGAGGGGAUCGCCGGGGGCGUGUUCGUCUCCAACUCGCUCGUCAGCAUGUACGCCAGGUGCGGCGACAUGGGCCAGGCGAGGCAGGUGUUUGACGCUGCCGACGAGCGGGAUGACGUCUCGUGGAACGCGCUGGUCUCAGGCUACGUGCGGGCCGGUGCUCAGGAUGACAUGCUGAGGGUGUUUGCUCUGAUGCGCCGUUCUGGGAUUGGCUUGAAUUCUUUUGCUCUUGGAAGUGUCAUCAAGUGUUGCGCUGGCAGCGAUGACCCUGUGAGGGAUAUUGCCGCGGCGGUUCAUGGAUGCGUGGUGAAGGCUGGGUUCGACGCCGACGUGUUUCUUGCGAGCGCGAUGGUUGACAUGUAUGCCAAGAAGGGCGCAUUGAGUGAAGCUGUUGCGCUCUUUAAGUCGGUGCUUGAUCCCAAUGUGGUUGUGUUCAAUGCCAUGAUCGCGGGGCUGUGUCGUGAUGAGGCUGCUGUCGAUACGGAUGUCCUGAGAGAAGCGUUAAGUCUGUAUUCAGAGGUGCAGAGUCGAGGAAUGGAGCCUACCGAGUUCACAUUCUCCAGUGUUAUACGAGCUUGUAACUUGGCAGGUGACAUCGAAUUCGGAAAACAGAUACAUGGGCAAGUGCUGAAGCACUGUUUCCAGGGAGAUGACUUCAUUGGGAGCGCACUCAUUGACUUGUACCUCAACUCUGGCUGCAUGGAAGAUGGGUUCAGGUGUUUCACAUCUGUUCCGAAGCAAGAUGUCGUUACGUGGACAGCUAUGAUUUCAGGGUGUGUUCAAAAUGAGCUUUUCGAGAGGGCACUGACCUUGUUCCAUGAAUUAUUAGGUGCUGGACUGAAACCUGAUCCUUUCACUAUAUCGAGCGUGAUGAAUGCCUGUGCCAGUUUGGCUGUUGCAAGGACUGGUGAGCAGAUUCAGUGCUUUGCUACAAAAUCUGGUUUUGGUCGGUUCACUGCCAUGGGGAACUCCUGCAUACAUAUGUAUGCUAGGUCAGGGGAUGUCCAUGCUGCAGUCCGGAGGUUUCAGGAGAUGGAAUCACACGACAUUGUCUCUUGGUCUGCUGUCAUAUCAAGCCAUGCACAACAUGGCUGUGCAAGGGAUGCUUUACGGUUUUUCAAUGAAAUGGUAGAUGCAAAGGUGGUGCCAAAUGAGAUUACUUUUCUUGGUGUCCUUACUGCAUGUAGCCAUGGAGGAUUGGUUGAUGAGGGACUCAAGUAUUAUGAAAUCAUGAAAGAGGAAUAUGCGUUGAGCCCAACCAUCAAGCAUUGCACAUGUGUUGUCGACCUUCUUGGUCGAGCUGGGAGACUAGCUGAUGCUGAGGCUUUUAUAAGGGAUUCAGUCUUCCAUGAUGAAUCUGUCAUCUGGCGGUCUUUGCUAGCAUCAUGUCGUAUCCAUCGAGACAUGGAGAGAGGCCAACUUGUUGCAGAUAGGAUAAUGGAACUACAACCCAGUUCCUCAGCAUCCUAUGUAAAUCUCUACAACAUUUACCUGGAUGCUGGGGAGCUCUCGCUUGCUUCAAAAAUUAGAGAUGUGAUGAAAGAGCGAGGCGUGAAGAAAGAACCUGGUCUGAGUUGGAUUGAACUAAGGUCUGGGGUUCACUCUUUUGUUGCCGGUGACAAGUCCCAUCCAGAGAGCAAUGCCAUAUACUCGAAACUGGCAGAGAUGCUUUCCAAGAUUGAUAAAUUGACAGCAACUGACGCUUCCAGCACAAAGUCAGAUGACAUCAUUAGAAACGAGCAAAGUUGGAUGAAUUGGCACAGUGAGAAACUAGCUGUGGCAUUAGGAUUGAUUCAUUUACCGCAGUCAGCACCUAUACGAGUAAUGAAGAACUUGAGAGUCUGCCGUGACUGCCAUUUAACUAUGAAACUGAUAUCGAAGAGUGAAAAGAGGGAAAUAGUCUUGAGAGAUGCGAUUCGUUUCCAUCACUUCAGAGAUGGCUCAUGUUCUUGUGCGGAUUACUGGUAGUGGCUACUGGCUAGUGCAGUGUAUACGGUGCCAGUGUGGUGUUCUGAUUCUUUAAUAGACAGUUCUCUAUGUUGCUUUGCUCCCAUUUAGGAUUAAGAUCUGUAGGUGCAUAUUGCAGCCUUGCAAUGAUUGAAUCCUGUUACAUUUCUGCCAACAGGAAGAAAGGCGUCUUUAACUCCUCAAAAGCGGCCUCCUCCAAAUUGAAUGGUUGAGUCCACUAAACUAUCUCCAAGGCAUCAUGCUGAUUCUCCUGUUCGUCAUCGACUAGAUCCAUCCCCUGUUAGGCUUGGUGACAGAAGACCAUGAUCUCCAAUUAGAAGGCAUCAUCUCCUUCGCCACUUAUAAGGCAUACGUCGCCAAUGCGGAUUUGGGAUUUGUGGCAGCUCAUCACCUCGUGGAUACUCACCUGGGCCUCUUAGAAGGCGGAAUACAAUAAGUACACCAUACAUGGUUUGAGACCUCUGUAUACUGCAGCAUAAUUUACACUGGCCUGAUGUGUGCCAUUACCUUCAUUUAUGGACAGUGUUGCCUUGCCAUGUUUACACUUACCUUCAGAAGGUUGUAGUUAACUUAUCUCGCCUUUUCUUGAGGGCGAACUUAUCUUGCUGUUAGCAGGUCAAGGAGACUGAGGAGCUUUUCGAGAAGGUCAUCACCACCACCACCACCUGCACGUCGUCAUAGUCGUUCCCCUCACUUUCACUCCCGCUCCAGAUCAAUUCCCCAUAUAGAACCAGAGGAUCUCCUCUAUUGGGGUUGGCGCUGAAGGUGAGAUUCAUCCAACUCCGUAUCACCUAGUCGACCUUCAUGAAUGUAGUUGAAGGUUUUCCCAUCCUAAGGUGCCCACAAUGGGUGCCUACUGCUGGAUCAUGGGGUUUUCACCCACAGAAGAAUGCACUCAUCCUCAUGCUUAGGGCGGUGUUAGCGAUGGCACGAGCUCAUCAAAGACAGCAUGCAACAAGCUUCUUGUGUCAAAGGCUUGUUCACUUACCGACCUAUCUACAAGGAUGUGUUGCCGACAGGGAAAUUGUCUAUGGCGUCUUAGAGUGAAUACAGUUCUGCUAUACAUAGCGCGGAGAACCUCUACUCAGGCCGGCGUGGAGCGUCAGGUUCAUCCAAUUCUGUAUCAAGAAAGAUGAGUGCAAGAUGUGUAGCGGACAAGUGGUUUAUGUGGUCUGUCAUAGAAAACAACAAUACUUGAAUGUUUGAUUCUGUUUUGUUUGUCAUGCGAUGCAAUCAUAGAGGAUAUCAAGGGGGCCUCAACCCUAGAA